UACAGGGGGGGCAAGCGUUGUUCGGAAUUACUGGGCGUAAAGGGCUCGUAGGCGGCCGGCUAAGUCCGACGUGAAAUCCCCAGGCUUAACCUGGGAACUGCGUCGGAUACUGGCGGGCUUGAAUCCGGGAGAGGGAUGCGGAAUUCCAGGUGUAGCGGUGAAAUGCGUAGAUAUCUGGAGGAACACCAACGGCGAAGGCAGCUCUCUGGGACGUUACUGACGCUGAGACGCGAAAGCGUGGGGAGCAAACAGG
rnacentral:rRNA from 1 species